rnacentral:rRNA from 1 species
GACGAACGCUGGCGGCGUGCUUAACACAUGCAGGUCGAACGGUGAAGCCCUUCGGGGUGGAUCAGUGGCGAACGGGUGAGUAACACGUGGGAAAUCUGCCCUGCACUCUGGGACAAGCCUUGGAAACGAGGUCUAAUACCGGAUAUGACCUGCUCCUGCAUGGGGGUGGGUGGAAAGCUCCGGCGGUGCAGGAUGAUCCCGCGGCCUAUCAGCUUGUUGGUGGGGUAACGGCCCACCAAGGCGACGACGGGUAGCCGGCCUGAGAGGGCGACCGGCCACACUGGGACUGAGACACGGCCCAGACUCCUACGGGAGGCAGCAGUGGGGAAUAUUGCACAAUGGGCGAAAGCCUGAUGCAGCGACGCCGCGUGAGGGAUGACGGCCUUCGGGUUGUAAACCUCUUUCAGCAGGGAAGAAGCGCAAGUGACGGUACCUGCAGAAGAAGCACCGGCUAACUACGUGCCAGCCGCCGCCGUAAUAC